UCACGCGGACUCCACACUGUUCGCACUGGGGUAUUGCCCACACUUCAGGCGCACGUGGUGGUGGCGGCUUGAAAACGUCGACAUGAAGGGCGCUGCCAUCGUAGCAGCAGCAGCGCUGUUGACGACCUGUCGAGAUUGACGGUCAUCUCGUCGAAGCGAUGGGUAGACUCGACCCUCUGUGUGGCUAAACCGACAUCCCAAGCAGAUGUGGAACUAUAUUUCGAUUUAAAGCUUUCGUGACUGCAGGGAUUCAUCUUCUUAGGUUCUUUUGGUAAAGGCACGUAGAAGGAAAGUAAUAAAAUAAUAAAAAUAAAACGUAAUAAAAUAAUUCUCACGACGUUUCGGCCACAACGCAAGCAGCCGUCCUCAUGUGAAGAAUUAAACACCACCAAGCUUGGAGCGUAUAUUUAAGCUGGGUUGGAGGGGAAAGAGCGCCUUGACGAAAGAAUUUGCAUAUCAAGAGGAAUUUAGCAUAUUUAUGGGAAAUGCAGAUAUGGGAUUAGUCAUUACUUUGUGGAAUGCGUAGGAGGUGGGCAGGGGGGUUUAAAAGUCAUACUAUGCCCGUGCAUUACGCACGAUUAGCAGCAUCAAAGAUGUGGAAGGUUGCGAGAAUAUUUUUUGUUCAUCGCCGUCGUCAUCAGCAUUGCACGAUGUAAUCACACGUGUAAACACACAAACAAUUGUGCCGCAACGUGUUUACAAGUACAACUUUCAUUUCCCGCAAAUGUCAUUUGUUUAUUAAAGUAGCGAGUACGGAAUUAAACAAGUUUGUUUGGCGGUUGGAGAUAAACCCACCAAACAUGCAACGUUGGGCCAUCUCUGGUAUACGGUUGGAACCGUUGAACCGACGUUGGCCCGACGUUAAAGCGACAUUGGCCCGACCUUUUCCAUUCAUUUUACUACGAUCACGGAUCCUCUAAAACUACCCAUUGGGUAUGAGCAUUGCGUGGAUAAAUCACCGAGAGCAGACACAUGGGGACAUUUAUCGACACGUAACGGAUCCACACACACGGCGGAUAAGGCGGGAAGACAUCUGUCACAGCGACGUAUGCAUGCAGGUCAGUCUACCCGUGGCACCUGGGUCUGCCCUGUGACCUGCCAGCGGGCGUUCGACACUUCACGUGGCCUUAAGAACUUCAGCCUGCUCUUGUCCACCUCCUUUUGACUGCCGCGCCGAGAGAUUGAAUCGAAACUGGCGACCUCUACAUGG